GGGUCGCUAUCUCAAUUGGUAGAGCAGUUGACUUUUAUUCAAUUGUGCGCAGGUUCGAUUCCUGUACGACCCA
rnacentral:tRNA from 1 species